UCAACAUAAUGUACAGUACUCACGGAUUCAACCGCGACAUCAAAAUUUAGUAUAUAUCGGCGUGUAUGCGCAAUUGCUCGAGAUAACCACAUCAUGUCGCGACGAAUCUGGUCUCUAAAGGUAAUGUUGGCUCUGAUCUACACGUUUGAGUCGAAAUCGCACCGAUAUGGCCUAAACUGAAGACUGUAGAAACGAAAACUUGUGCAUUUCUUAGCCCUAAAUUGUCCUAUUUUAAUCCAUGAGUACUGUACAUGUACAAAAAAAUAAAUAACACAUGUAUGCCGUCCAUUCGGGACGUAAAGCCCCAGCAGUUAUUACUAAUACAUGUGUUCCGCGGCAAGGAGCCAGCUCUCGUUCUCAGGUUGAUAUCUCUAAGCCUUUCGUAACAAGACAUUGACACAAUUUUCGCUACAGGUGGAAAAUUUACACUCGUGAUGCAAGCACAUAGUCGCUGAUGUUGAUUUUUCGCUCUUGUUAAUUGAUCGGUACUACUGGAGGGAUCUUACUUCGAGUUUUUGUGGUCACAAGGCAGAAGUUGGUUGAAAAUUGCAUGAUGAUUUUGGUGAUCCGAAGAAAAAUAUUUAUCGUAGUAUCUUCGAAGUUGCUGAAUUUACGCUUAUAAAAUGCAAAAAAAUAAUCUCAAUGCGACGAUCAAAAACCCGGCCAACAAUGGCUGGACAUAGGGGCGGACUGGCAACUGGUCCACUGUCGAAUAAAACGGUCGGGCCGGUUUAAAACCGUAGAAGUGGCGACCCUAGUAAGGCAUCGUCAUUGCUGCAGACUGAGAAUUGCUGAUACUGUACAAUGGACCAGCAUGGCCUGCUGUCGCACGAAAUGAAAGUAUAGCCGCGUACUGUGACUCGCUGGUUACAUGCUGAAAUGGCUUUGUAAGGCUGCUUCCUCUGCCUCUCUGUCUUCACACAAUCUGCAAAAUUUAGAUGUGCAUAGUUUACAUCCAGCUCGCUUUGACUCUAUUGGAAGUGUUUUGAUGUGUAUUACUGUAGCAGGAAGAUUAAGUGAACGGCAAAUAAUUAGAGGUGUUGCAAGCGUAUGUUGCCAAUGUGUUCUUUUUGCCUCUUGAGAGAAAGGACGCUGCUAGCAUAAGAGGUGGAAAGGUCACUCUUUGGUACGCUAGUCUAUGCUUGGAUAAAUGGGGACAGAAGGGAUAUUGAAAAGGCACUAAUCGUCUCCAAGUAAGUGUAAUGCGAGGGUUUAUUGGUCAGCUGCCGUCCCGUGCAAAGAUCAUAUGAUGCCUUCUGGCAAAAAGAGUUUCUACACUUGCCGCCUUGGAUAUGAGUGGCGCUGGCUAACGUUCCCAGGGAGGGAUUACACAUAUAGAAAUAGCCAAUGAAGUGGAUGAGCAACAACCUUCUGUUGUUGCUCAAUCAGUAGAGCACCAGACACUUAAUUUAAAGGUUGUGGAUUGUGAUCCCACCAACAGAAAGUGUGAUUUCUUUAUCCUGUUAAUUCAUUUCAAUUUGUCAUAAU